rnacentral:piRNA from 1 species
UGGAAAGUUUUCGACCUCUUUGCAGUGU